CUCUCCCAUCUCAUUUCUUUUGGUCGGCCAAGGCAAGAACAAAAGGGAAAAAGCAUAGAACAAACCCUAGAGAAGAAAAUCAAGAGAAAAUUCAUUGGAUUUCAAGGAAUUAAGCAAGUAAAGGUGAUGAAACUUCCGAUAAAGGUAAGGAGAUUGUACCCGAAGAUCGGGACUAGGAGUAUUUCGACUCCCGAUAUUGCUCAGGGCAGUCUGUAGACCACUGAUUAUAUCGAGGGUUUGCUUUUGGGUUUGCACCCUUAGAAAUCGCAGGUCUAUAGUCUUGUACAUAUAUGUUUAUUUUGGGGGCCUAUAUGUCAUUGUAGAAUAUUUUGUAU